rnacentral:rRNA from 1 species
UACGUAGGGUGCGAGCGUUGUCCGGAAUUACUGGGCGUAAAGAGCUCGUAGGUGGUUUGUCGCGUUGUUCGUGAAAACCGGGGGCUUAACCCUCGGCGUGCGGGCGAUACGGGCAGACUUGAGUACUGCAGGGGAGACUGGAAUUCCUGGUGUAGCGGUGGAAUGCGCAGAUAUCAGGAGGAACACCGGUGGCGAAGGCGGCACUCUGGGCUGGUAUUGACGCUGAGGAGCGAAAGUGUGGGUAGCAAACAGG